rnacentral:rRNA from 1 species
UACAGAGGUCUCGAGCGUUAGGCGGAAUCACUGGGCUUAAAGCGUGUGUAGGUGGAUCGUUAAGUACCUUGUGAAAUCCCACGGCUUAACCGGUGGAACUGCUUGGUAUACUGGCGGUCUUGAGCCACUUAGGGGCUACCGGAACAAAUGGUGGAGCGGUGAAAUGCGUAGAUAUCAUUGGAACGCCAAUGGUGAAAACAGGUAGCUGGGAGUGUGCUGACACUGAGACACGAAGCCAGGGGAGCAAACGGG